UACGGGGGGGGCAAGCGUUGUUCGGAAUUACUGGGCGUAAAGGGCUCGUAGGCGGCCAACUAAGUCAGACGUGAAAUCCCUCGGCUUAACCGGGGAACUGCGUCUGAUACUGGAUGGCUUGAGGUUGGGAGAGGGAUGCGGAAUUCCAGGUGUAGCGGUGAAAUGCGUAGAUAUCGGAAGGAACACCAGUGGCGAAAGCGGCUUCCUGGUCCAGCACCGACGUUCAGGCACGAAAGCGUGGGGAGCAAACAGG
rnacentral:rRNA from 1 species